rnacentral:rRNA from 1 species
GACGAACGCUGGCGGCGUGCCUAAUACAUGCAAGUAGAACGCACAGUUUAUACCGUAGCUUGCUACACCAUAGACUGUGAGUUGCGAACGGGUGAGUAACGCGUAGGUAACCUGCCUGGUAGCGGGGGAUAACUAUUGGAAACGAUAGCUAAUACCGCAUAAUAUUAAUUAUUGCAUGAUAAUUAAUUGAAAGGUGCAAUUGCACCACUACCAGAUGGACCUGCGUUGUAUUAGCUAGUAGGUGAGGUAACGGCUCACCUAGGCGACGAUACAUAGCCGACCGGGGAGGGUGCUGGGCAACAGUGGGACUGAGACAGGCCCCAGACUCAUCGGGGAGGCGGCAGAGGGGAAUUUUGGGAAAGGGAGGAAAGUCGGACAGGGAAGCGCCGCGGGAGUGAAGGAGGGUUUAGGAUCUAAAAGCUCUGUUGAAAGAGAAGAACGGGGGUGGGGGUGAAAAGUCCACAGUGGGACGGUAUCUUACAAAAAGGGGACGGCUAACUAGGUG